GGUAGAAUAGCUCAGUUGGUUAGAGCAUCAGACAGAUAAUCUGGAGGUCCUGGGUUUGAUUCCCAGUUCAGUCA